rnacentral:rRNA from 1 species
UUCUGGCUCAGAUUGAACGCUGGCGGCGUGCUUAACACAUGCAAGUCGAACGCGAACGGGGCUUCGGCCCCAAGUAGAGUGGCGCACGGGGGAGUAACGCGUGGACAAUCUGCCCUUAUGACUGGAAUAACAGUUGGAAACGGCUGCUAAUACCGGAUACGCUCAGGAAGAACUUUUUUGAGGAAAGGCGGCCUCUGCUUGCAAGCUGUCGCAUAAGGAUGAGUCCGCGUCCCAUUAGCUAGUUGGCGGGGUAACGGCCCACCAGGCAACGAUGGGUAGCCGAUUUGAGAGGAUGAUCGGCCACACUGGGACUGAAACACGGCCCAGACUCCUACGGGAGGCAGCAGUGGGGAAUAUUGCGCAAUGGGCGAAAGCCUGACGCAGCGACGCCGCGUGAGGGGAAUGAAGGUUUUCGGAUCGUAAACCUCUGUCAGAAGGGAAGAAACUGCCGUGCUCUAAUCAUCAUGGCAUUGACGGUACCUUCAAAGGAAGCACCGGCUAACUCCGUGCCAGCCGCGGC